UAAUCUCACUCAUCUGACUCUUUGUCAGCAUGUUGUGGAGUUGGAUGCUGCUGUGCCAUUACAGCUCAUCUGAAAUUUCUGAGUGCAUCCUGUAUUAGUGACGUGUGUGGUGUGAUAAAUCUUCACCAUAAUUGACUCCCAGGGUCACACUCGCUUGUUCAUGGCUCUGUGCUUCCAAACCUCCCCUAAUGGGAUAAUAGUUGACA
rnacentral:misc_RNA from 1 species